GCCAAGGGACCAGUUCACUUGGUAGACCAUGAGACUCUUAAUCUCUGGGUUGCGGGUUUGAGCCCCACGUUGGGCA